rnacentral:rRNA from 1 species
GAUCUCAAAUCAGGUAGGACUACCCGCUGAACUUAAGCAUAUCAAUAAGCGGAGGAAAAGAAACUAACAAGGAUUCCCCUAGUAACUGCGAGUGAAGCGGGAAAAGCUCAAAUUUAAAAUCUGGCGUGCCUCUGGUCGUCCGAGUUGUAGUUUAGAGAAGUGUUUUCUGUGUUGGACCGUGUAUAAGUCUCUUGGAACAGGGCGUCAUAGAGGGUGAGAAUCCCGUCUUUGACACGGACUACCAAUGCUUUGUGAUACGCUCUCAAAGAGUCGAGUUGUUUGGGAAUGCAGCUCAAAAUGGGUGGUAAAUUCCAUCUAAAGCUAAAUAUAGGCGAGAGACCGAUAGCGAACAAGUACCGUGAGGGAAAGAUGAAAAGCACUUUGGAAAGAGAGUUAAACAGUACGUGAAAUUGCUGAAAGGGAAACGC